AUUGAACGCUGGCAGAAUGCUUUACACAUGCAAGUCGAACGGCAGCACGGACUUCGGUCUGGUGGCGAGUGGCGAACGGGUGAGUAAUAUAUCGGAACGUGCCCAGUCGUGGGGGAUAACGUAGCGAAAGUUACGCUAAUACCGCAUACGAUCUAUGGAUGAAAGCGGGGGAUCGCAAGACCUCGCGCGAUUGGAGCGGCCGAUAUCAGAUUAGGUAGUUAGUGGGGUAAAGGCGCACCAAGCCAACGAUCUGUAGCUGGUCUGAGAGGACGCACAGCCACACGGGAACUGAGACACGGUGCAGGCUCCUACGGGAGGCAUCAGUGGUGAAUUUUGGACAAUGGGCGCAAGUCUGAUCCAGCCAUUCCGCGUACAGGAUGAAGGCCAUCUGGUUGUAAACUGCUUUUGUACAGAACGAAAAGGUCUCCAUUAAUACUGGGGGCUCAUGACGGUACCGUAAGAAUAAGCACCGGCUAACUACGUGCCAGCCGCCGCAGUAAAAC
rnacentral:rRNA from 1 species